CUCAUGGUAUCAUCCUGCGGUAAUAAGAAUCUCAUCCUGCGAUGUCGCCUCUCACUCUCUUGAGUCUCUUGUCUAGUGCCCGAUCCACCUCCACUUGGAGCUCCACCUCACUCUAGGCUCCUCCUGGCUCCUGAAGCUCUACCUCAUAUUGGGCUCCCCAUCAUGUAGUAAUAUCCUCUCAUCCUCUUCUUCCCCUGCAGAAUAAUCCUAUCACUGUGCAACACCUUCAUGAUUCCUCCACCAGCUAUCGUCCUGUAGCCUCUCGAAUCCAGUCUGCUUAGUGAGAUAAAAUUCCAUCAGAAAGCAGAUAUGUAUCGGAUCUCCCCCAAUCUCCUCACUACACCAUCAUGUGUCCUCUAG
rnacentral:lncRNA from 1 species